CUUUGCUGAGAGGUAUUCAGAUGGAACCAAGGUCAGUUGGAAAAGAAGGAAGUCUCACUGCUACAAUUUCCACAUGUAGGCCGAAAUUCUGGCACUGAAACUGCAGUAAUCUGUUAGGGAACUCACUUGUCAAUAAAGAAGCAAGAAGAUUAUUCCAGUUGUCCAGAGACAUGUUAUUCCAUCUUGAACAAAGCAAGACGACAAGGCAGUGACUUUGAACUACCGUUUAUGAAAAUGGAUUCGCCCCCCAACAGAGAUAUCCACUUCGUAUUCGACAGCGCCCGCACCCAUGUCAAGAUUGUCUCGCUUGCCGAAGUUUGUUUCAUAGUUAAUAUGCAGGGUUGACAUUUGAUUUGGUUUGAAAUACAAUGUUUGUAUUGUGUUGUUGUAUUCUGCACCAGAACGUGCAUCAAAUGAAGUGCAGUGUGUAAAGAGAGUUUUAAUCAUGAAACUUCUGAUAUAAAUGGACUAAAUCCAAGCGUCAGCCCUGCACGUCACUAGUUUAUUACUUGAGAUAUGAUAAUAAUUUGAAACACAGCUCUCUAUUCACACACGAUGUAUUUAUUGUAAUUAGUUUUGUAUAUACCCACCAGUUCUCGAACCUGAAACGACAGUUUUUAGGUUGCUCUUCAAACAGAAAUAACGUCACUGAAAUCCCUUUCGUGCUUAAGUGAUGUAUAAAAACGAAAAAUGAUAAAAAAUAUUGUAGAAUUAUCACUUUAGGUGAUGUCCAGGUAGAACACUAUGAUAGCAUGAUUGGUUUUCUGUUUGACUGUAAAAUAUAUGUGGACAGAUAUGUAAUAAGACAAUUUGUUGUGCACUGGUAAAUGCAUGUUUAUUCAUAUCAGAUUGGAUACAAAUAUUUAUUUUAAUGAAGUUUACUUUUGAAAAGGAAAAAAUGUCGCACAUCCAUUACGUAAAAUGCAUAUAGGAUUCUUUUAUUGUGGGUACAGUUGAAGAAGUGAACAAGAAGUAAAUAUGCAAUAAACUUUUAAUACAAAUUAUUACACGUAAAAAAUAACAGCAGUAUGAAAUUGUAAAAUGUGCUCAAGUAAUUGCAGAAAUGUCCACACGUAUUGAAACGGAUUUUUAUCAAAUUGUGAAUAUGCUGUUAUGGCGCAUGCUAAGAAUGAAUGGUUUACGGUGUUUUGAUAUAGUUUGUCUGAUCAGUGACACACCCAUAGUUUUAUGUUUUAUUGCUGGGAGGGGGUAGAAAUGUUUGUGUUUUCAGAAAAUCAAACCAGGGAUUGGGCCAGUUUUUUUUUUUAAUUAAUGUUUUUGUUAUUUCAGAAGGGAAAUUGACCUUUGGCCUGCAAAACAAAGAGGAAAUGUUUGAUGUACACAAAAAAAAAAAAAAAAAAAAAAAAAAA